AAUGUUAUUUAAAAAAGUUUAGUCUUUUCUUCUUUCUUAUUACAAAAUCUAAAAGAGUGCUACCCUUCUCUCUCUUAUUAAUUCUAAACUUCUUCCUAUGUGUCUUCAGUUUAUCUAUGCCUGUUCGCGAUAGGACUUGCUAGUCAAACUCGGUCACUUCUCAAUUCCUUUUCCCCUACUCAAUUAUUCAGCUGUAGUUUCCCACUAAACACCGUCGUCCCGUCCAAGACUAGGGUUUCGACCCGAAGUUAAGUCGGGAUUUACUUAUCGGAUUCUUAAUGUAUGAUAUUUUGAAGUUCUACCGAGUGGCGGCUCUGUAAAUUAAGCGGAAAUGGAGCCCCUUCGUUGGAUUACGGAGUUUUGGGAGGAUUUCGGAGGUUGUCUGAUGGAUGGGGACUGAUUAGGGUUUCGUUGUUUCUAUUCGUUUUUGGGAUAUUUUCAACUUAAUGUGUUUACUCCCGUAGCAGGAAGUGUAAAUUUUAAGGGUUCUAUUGGGGAAUUAGAAAUUUAGGGUUCCUCUCGUGAGCCCUGUGUGUUUGUUGAUUUUGUAGUGAAAACUUAAAAUUUGAAUAGGAUCAGAAUUUGUAAGCUUUAAUAAUAAGGUUUUGUCACAUUUAGAAGUAGGGAAGUUGUAUAAAAAAAUAGGGAUUAUAUUGGGAGAGAAAUGUUUUAUUCACAGUUCAUAUUGGCGAAGAAAGGUCCGUUGGGGACAAUAUGGAUUGCAGCACAUCUGGAGAGGAAGCUCCGAAAGAAUCAGGUGGCCGAUACUGAUAUCGGUGUCUCUGUUGACUCUAUUCUAUUUCCUGAAGUACCGAUUGCACUACGAUUGUCCAGUCAUCUUCUUCUUGGAGUAGUGAGGAUAUAUUCCCGAAAGGUGAAUUACCUUUUUGAUGAUUGCAGCGAAGCGUUGCUUAAGAUAAAGCAGGCAUUUCGCUCCACUGCAGUUGAUUUACCACCAGAAGAAUCGACUGCGCCCUACCAUUCAAUCACUUUGCCCGAGACUUUUGAUCUUGAUGACUUUGAGCUGCCCGGCAAUGAGAUUUUUCAGGGUAACUAUGUUGAUAAUCACAUUAGCUCAAGAGAGCAGAUUACACUUCAAGAUACCAUGGGCGACGUGGUUUACUCUACAUCACAAUUUGGAUUGGAUGAGCGGUUUGGUGAGGGUGACACUUCUCAGAUUGGUCUGCUUGAUGAGGAACUAGUCCUAGAUCGGGUUGCAGUGCCAGGAUCUGUUGAAGUUUCUGAGUAUGAUCUUCAGGGCUCAGAUGUACCACAGAAAGCGAGUAAUUUAGAAGCUGUGCCUAUGGUUUGCAGUGGGGAUCAGGAUGAAGAUCUAGCUACAAAUUCUGAAUUUGUCGAGAACGAUCAAGAUGUUGGUACUCCUGGAUUAAUGGAAUUGCCUAAUAUGUCUGGUGAUCACAAGGUAUUGGCUGAUCAUAUGGAAUCAGAACAUCACAAUCUUACGGAAUUGGGCAAUGAGUGUGUAGAAAAUGCUUCUAAUAAAUCAAAUUCUCUCUAUGGGGAUACUGGUCCAGUGGAUCAGUCUUUGCACAAUGAUGUAGAUCAUGAUGCUGUGCCUCCUAAAAAUGGUUGCCAUUUUGGUGACAUGGAGAAAGAACAAACUAAACCACCAGGAAAUUCUGUCCAUGAUGCCUUGUGUGUUGAGUACACAUCUGCUGUUGGUAAUGUCAGAGGAUCUGAUGGCUUGGAUAGGGUGGAAGAUAUGCAGAAUGGUGUUAUGCACUCAAUUGAUAGAACUGAGGGAGAAUGUGCAGAAUCUCCUAGCUGCUCCAAUAUCACCUUUGACUUGGAGGAUCCUUCUCGAAGAACAUGUUUAAGUAGCAUCUGUGUGCCCACAUCAGAUGGCUGUUUGGAGAAUGGCCAAGCAUCGCAUAAAUCUGAAAAUGGAAAUGAUGCUGAAACCACUGAUAAUUUGGAAGAGCCAUUCUCUCCUGCCAAAGCAAUAGCUUCAAAUCCUUCCUGUCCCCUGGAGUUGCCCAGUAGGCCAACAGUUAUUGAUGGUGAAGCUCAAGCUUCUCUGGAACCAAAUGAUUCUGAAAAUCCUGAAACACCUAUUGUUCAUGAAAAUCUGUCAUCUGUUCAAGUUCUUGGAAGUGAUAGUCUGGCUGCUGCAGAGCAAAACUUGGUGGAUUUGUCCAGAAGGGAGGAGGAAGUUCAUGCUUCUGGAGCUUCAAUUGAGGUGCAAGUUGAAGCCUGCCAAACUCAGAGUUUGGAACCUGCUUUAUGUGAUGAUCAGUUGGAAAAUUCAAAUAAUUGUGCUAUGUCUGAUUUGCCUGCACCUGAAAAGUUACUCUCUGCACCCGAAGGACCUCUUGAUAAACCAAGUGAUUUGCUGGGAGAGUCUACCCCAGACAAAGAAGUCCUAGCAGAGAAUGAUGAUAUUGAUAGUGGAACCAAGCUCAUUUCAGGAAAAAAACGAAGUAUAGCUGAAAGUACAUUAACCAUAGAGAGUAUGAACUCAGUUGAAUCAUUUGGAAGGCCUAGAUCCAUGAGAACUGCAGAAUCGGUUCCUGAUGAUGAUGACUUAUUGUCUUCUAUUUUAGUUGGAAGAAGAUCUUCUGUUUUCAAAAUGAAACCAACACCUCCUCUUGAAGUAGCAUCCAUGAAACGUGCACGAUCUGCACCAAGAUCUAGUACCAUCAAGAGAAAAGUGCUUAUGGAUGAUACCAUGGUUUUACAUGGCGAUACAAUACGGGAGCAGUUGGUUAAUACUGAAGACAUACGUCGCAUACGCAAGAAAGCCCCUUGCACUCGCCCUGAAAUUUCAUUGAUUCAGGGAAAAUUCUUGGAAGAUGAGAUCUUUAGUGAACCUAUAUUUACUGGUAUCUCAGGUGACUUGGCAUGUUUGCACAGUAAACCAUAUGAUCUAAGCAGUGUCAGGAUUUCUGAAGGUGAGGAAUUCCAUGCAUCAUCUGAACUAGCUAAGAAUUUGGAGUGUUCUGUCAGACCUCGUAUUGGUGAAGCUGGAAUCGAAGUAAGCUCUGUGCCUGUGAUUCAUGGGAAUGAUGAGCAAACACAAUCUGCUGCUAUUCCUAAUCAGGCUGAUACUCAGCAGGGUGAAUACAGUGAUCUUAAUGCUCAGCAGGAUAGAUAUGCUAUUGAUGAUGUACCUCAACUUUUGCAACAUGAACCUUUGAAUGGGAUCACUGAAAUGGAAAUUGACAAAGAUAAUGUUGAAGUUGCUACUCUAGCAAAUUGUUCUGUUCUGAAUGAGUUAGGGGUAUCAUCACAUGCUGAUCUUGAUACUGGAGGUACUAGUAACAAGACAGUUGAGGAGGUAACCAACGCCAUUGAUGGCUCCAUGUUAAACAUUGCAACAUGCCUUCCACCUGAUCAAAAAAUGACUACUCAACCUGGAGAGGAUGCUUCUGAAUUGGAUUUGAGAAAUGACAAAGGAACGAAUCCAACUGAAGUUUUAGAACACGAUGUUGAAAGUAUCAUUGCAGCUGAAACUGAAUCAAAAGCAGCUGAUGAGUUGUUAGAAGAAAGUAAAGCCAAUACUUCAGUUGAGGUCAGUGUAGCAGACUGCCCUGAACCAAUUGAAAAUGGAUAUGAUUCUCUUGCAGCUAUACACACUGGUGAGUUUGUGAAUGGCGCUCAAAAUGCCUAUGAAACUGGAUACGGUAAGAUUGAUGUAGCAGAUGAGGCUCAAGUUGAGGGUUCUUUCUUGGAUAAUGAACACAAAGACAGUAUCUUCAAGGGUAGCGAAGAAAGUAAACUGGAUUCUACAUAUUCAGAGAAGGUUGAUAUGGCUCUGAAAAAUGCUUCGUUAAUUGACGGAGAAACUCCAAUCUUUCUGGAAGUUGAUGCAGUCAAUGAAGAAAUGAUCUCUCUUGCAGAUAAUCGUACUGCAUACGAGGAUGUUGCUGUUGCAAAUGACACAGAAUUUCUGAAUGUAGAUGAUAACGAGCUAGGUGGUGAUGAAGAUGAUGAAGGCAUGCCUUGUGGCAAUGAAAGUCGUCUUCUUGAAAACAGUGGAUGGUCUUCUCGUACCAGGGCUGUUGCCAAGUAUCUCCAGAAUUUAUUUGAGGACGAAGUUAUACAUGGACAUAAGGUACUUUCAAUGGAUAGUCUAUUGGCUCGUAAAACACAAAAAGAAGCAUCGAGGAUGUUUUUUGAAACACUGGUUCUUAAGACAAGAGAUUACAUCCAUGUAGAACAGGGAAAACCCUUUGACAAUAUCUAUAUAAUGCCUAGAGCAAAGCUCAUGAAAGCAGAUUUCUGAUCCUUUUUUACAUAGGAAAAGCUGAUUCAGGGAAAAUUGCCUUAUUGUAGUUCUAGUUCUGAUGCUCAGGCUCAACCUACACAUGGGUUAUUCAAAUAGUCGGCUUGACAUUCAUGCAUUAUUUCACAUUCAUUGUAACUCAUUUAUGAGGGAACACUGCACCCGAUUGUUCAUGAAUCCUAGAGUUGCUGGUUGCAUUUUUCCAAGUGACCAUUCGUGAAAAGAUAUGCCAAUAAUUCAACUUCAUUUGAGUUAAACAGCCAGCUGCCUUUGUUCACACUCAAAGGACCAUUCAAAUCCAAGUGUUCACACCAAAGACCCUUCAGGCGCCUCAAGUUGCAUUCAUUAGCUACUAAUACAUUCGGUGCACUAAGGAAGCAUUAACUUAGGCUCAUAAACAACAUUGACUGAUCAAGUUAAUGAUUCUUUCAGCUCAACUAUGAAGCCCACCUCAAUGGUUGUUCGGGAACUCCAAUUGACAAAGCUCCAAUGAUUGUUCGGGAACUCUUAUUUUCAAAGCUGAUUAAUUAAGCUCUUCAAGAAUCAAUCAGCUGAAUUAAAUUGAACUCCAGUUUUCUUUAGUUGUAAUUAUCUUGUGUUUAUUCAGCUGGUACUUAGCAGCCUAUAAAUAGUUUGCUUGUAACCUGUUUUGAGAACUUUUGAUCUUUGAAUAAAUUUUUACAUCUUUGUGAGUUGUUCAA